UAGUUGGUGAAAGUCCAACCGAGGUAAGAGCCAAGUCGCCUCGUAGCUGACAGGCAACUGGUGGAGAAAUCCUAAGGUUGAAGCCCUGUGACCAAUUUGAACACUGACUACAUUU
rnacentral:ncRNA from 1 species